CUAGUUCCUUCGAUAUCAAUGUAAUCUAAUAAUCAUGAUUUUUUCUGUGUUGGUGUAAUGUUGCAUAUGCCGGCAACUGAGAAAAAUCAUGAUUAUUAGAUUACAUUGAUAUCGAAGGAACUA